AGCUCUGUAAGCGUAUAUCAAAGUUGUUGCAGUUAAAACGCUCGUAGUCGAAUUUUGGUGGGCGAUGCGGGACGUCCGUGAGGACUGUUCUGUGUUGACUGCCUUUGUGGAGGGGAAUCGCGUUGCGGUUUUUUAUUAAAUUGCCGUGGUACCGCCACCGUUUACUGUGAAAAAAUUAGAGUGUUCAAAGCGGGCUGCAUUGCCAUGAAUACAUUAGCAUGGAAUAAUAGAAUAGGACCUGGUCUUAUUUUGUUGGUUUUGAUAAAAAUCAGGUAAUGAUUAACAGGGACGGUCGGGGGCAUUUGUAUUCCGGGGUUAGAGGUGAAAUUCUUAGAUCCUCGGAAGACAACCAGCUGCGAAAGCGUCUGCCAAGGACGUUUUCAUUGAUCAAGAACGAAAG
rnacentral:rRNA from 1 species